rnacentral:rRNA from 1 species
CUUGGUGUGGUUGUUGCUGGCCCUCUCGGGGGCAUGUGCACACCCACCAUCCUCAUCUCUCCACCUGUGCACCUUUUGUAGACCUGGAUAGACUUUCCGAGGCAACUCGGUCGGGAAGAUUGCUGCGCUCUGUGAGCCAGCUUUCUUUGCAUGUCCAGGCCUAUGUUUUUCAUAUACCCCUGUAGAAUGUAACAGAAUGUAUCAUUGGGCCUUGUGCCUAUAAACCUUAUACAACUUUCAGCAACGGAUCUCUUGGCUCUCGCAUCGAUGAAGAACGCAGCGAAAUGCGAUAAGUAAUGUGAAUUGCAGAAUUCAGUGAAUCAUCGAAUCUUUGAACGCACCUUGCGCUCCUUGGUAUUCCGAGGAGCAUGCCUGUUUGAGUGUCAUUAAAUUCUCAACCUUAUUAGCUUUUGCUGAUAAUGGAUUGGAUGUGGGGGUUUCUUUUGCCGGCUUCUUCACAGAGGUCAGCUCCCCUAAAAUGCAUUAGCUGGUGCCCCGCGUGGACCAUCUAUUGGUGUGAUAAUUAUCUACGCCGUGGAUGUCUGCAAUCAUAUGGGUUUUGCACUGCUUCUAACCGUCUGUUCAUUCGGACAAUACAUGACAAUUUGACCUCAAAUCAGGUAGGACUACCCGCUGAACUUAAGCAUAUUAAUAAGCGGAGGAAAAGAAACUAACAAGGAUUCCCCUAGUAACUGCGAGUGAAGCGGGAAAAGCUCAAAUUUAAAAUCUGGCGGUCUCCGGCCGUCCGAGUUGUAAUCUAGAGAAGUGUUAUCCGCGCUGGAC